CGUGGGGUGGCGCAGUUGGCAGCGCGCCGGGCUCACAACCCGGAGGCCGCAGGUUCGAAUCCUGCCCCCGCAA
rnacentral:tRNA from 1 species